UGCCCUACGGGGCGCAGCAGUGGGGAAUAUUGCACAAUGGGGGAAACCCUGAUGCAGCGACGCCGCGUGAGUGAAGAAGUAUUUCGGUAUGUAAAGCUCUAUCAGCAGGGAAGAAAAUGACGGUACCUGACUAAGAAGCCCCGGCUAACUACGUGCCAGCAGCCGCGGUAAUACGUAGGGGGCAAGCGUUAUCCGGAUUUACUGGGUGUAAAGGGAGCGUAGACGGCGUGCCAAGUCUGAUGUGAAAGGCCGGUGCU
rnacentral:rRNA from 1 species